CCUGUGCUAAGUUUGGAGAGCUUGAUUGACAGAGUCGCAACGGAGGAAAAGUCUGUGCAAAGUUGGUGCAAACAAAUGUGUGUUUGAUGUUUUCAGAAUUACAUCAGUCUAUAAAAGUAAAACCACACUUCCUGUCUGUGAGCAGUUAGAUUUCUACAUUUUCACUCGACGUAUUUCACACAGGUGUUCAUGUGUUGGCAUUUGUUUUACCUUGCUGUCUCAUUAGCAUAUGGAGCGUGGCCAAAUGAAUGGACCUUAGCCACGGGUAACUUAACCCAGCAAACACUAAAGGAUUUGCUUCAUCAUUUCUGACUACACUACAGCGUUAAUUCACUGGAUCACGCUGCAGAGUCACUGGAUCACGCUGCAGUGUCACUGGAUCAAGCUGCACAGCCACUGGAUCUUGCUGCAGAGUCACUGGAUCACACUUUAGAGUCGGUGCCGUCCUCUUCUCUGACAUCUAUUAGCCAUCUAGUUUUUCAUGGAGAUCGGGGACUGGUUAAAUCCACAGAGACCAUUGAUGGACAUCUGCAUGCCCUCUUGUACUUCUCCAGAAUCCGAGCGACUGGUGACCCUUGCAGACUGGACUGGAAGUAUUCAAUAAGGUGGCUCCUAUCAGACUCCAGACAUCCUCACUGGCCAUGCUGAGGGUCUCCUGCAGCUGAUCAGAGCCAACGACAACAAUGGCAGCAGCCUCCAUGCCUUCAUCUCAUCUGAUGAAGAGGAGAAGUGAUAUUUUCUUUCCACUCUUCCCUGAUGAUGAAGAAGAAGAGAUAAGGCAGGAGAGAUCAUCAUCCCAGUCUUCUCUGGAGAUGAGGAUGAGGACAACAAGGAUGAGAUUGAGGUUGGUGAAAUCAGUGCUACACUCUUGUCUGAUGAUGAGGAUGGGGAUGACAUGGAUGAGAUCAAGGUAGGUGACAUCAUAAACCCCUUCUCUGGAGAUAAGGAUGAGGUUGAGGUAGGUGAGAUCAUUAUCCCACUAUUCUCUGGAGAUGAGGAUGAUAGUGAGGACAUCAAGGAAGGGAAGAUUUUUUCCCUGAAGUUCCUUGAUGAUCAGGACAAGGAAGACAAAGAUGGAAUUGAGGAUGGUGAGGUCUUCAUUCAGAAUGAUGAAGAUGAGAUUGAAGAAUAGCCUGUCAUCCCACUCUUCUUAGACGGUGAGGAUGAGGAGGAUGAAGAUGGGAUUUGGGAAAGAAAGAUCAUCAUAUUGCUCUUCUUGGACAAUGAAGAACAGUGAAUAUGUGCUAUAUGUAGUGUGCACUUUCGUAUUUGAGACAUUAUUACUUCUAUUCUUGCACCCAACAACAAAACAAGAUGACAUUUCAAGACUCCCAUGAUGGCUACUACCCUGUAGUGGCAUUUACUGCAAGUGCAUGAGUAUAUAGAUACCACUGUUCAUGAGGAGCGGAAGUUUUGAUGCUAACUUGUAUGAAAAAUGUCCUCCUAAACAGUUAAUCUGUUUGAGUUGUGGUAGCUUGAGAAAUAUGCACAUUUUCCAAGUUUAAGUAAAUGUAUAAAAGUGGAAAGUCAUUUAAAAAAUGUCAGGACUUGAAUCUUGGUAAAUUUUCAGGAGUUUCAAGCAGGGCUUGAGAUACACUUGUCAAUACAAAUCAGACUACAUUUCAAGCAGAAACAAUAAAACAUUAUGCCAGAGGAGUUAAUUAUACUUGAGGAUUAUUUCCAUGAUAAACUGCAUGGUGAGAAUAAAAACUUUGAAAGAGUUAAUCCAGGGCAUACUGUGUAUCACUCCCCUGUAUUCAGGGGGACUGGACAUGUUGUACCACAGCAAAACAUAAAAGUAACUUGUUGAAAAUGUAAACUCACAGAAUGGAGGAAAGCAGAUUAUAAGGUGGGAGAAAAUUACUGAUUAAAAUUUCCAAAAGCGGCAGCACUGA